UAUUGGUAAUCGUCAUGCAACAUUGAUUACAUAUAUAAAUAUUCUUUUGUUCAACAUAAAACAAAUUAUUUAUAUAGUCAUGGUGUAAUAUAAAAGAACACAACAGACUUUAACUGCGUCCUACAGGACUGAACUAUGAUCUGAGCGACGCGUCUGUUUACGUGAAUGUCUCGGGGCGAGAAACACGGCGAAAGGUGUUUGUAUGCUCGUAAACAGGAAAAUAUACCAGCAGGUAGCAGUCACUGAUGCUUACUGCCCUUGUUCUGCUAAUAAUCCAUGGGAGUAGCUCAUUUUGACCCAGUUGUAAAUAAAAGAAGUGCUGCAAUGAACAGUUCUGGUAAGUUAAUAAAUAAGGUAGCAUUUGCUUAUUUGUAUAAAAUCUCGCUAGUAUUAGUAGAGAACGAUCUCGUAUGUCGUUUGCAAGUAGCAAAAGAAAACGAUGUAGUAAUGUUACGCACACAUUUGGCAGUCAAGUAUGUCCGAUGGGUGUCAUGGGACUAUACUCGUCUAUGUGUACAAGUGAAAACAUGACUAAAAGUAAUUGAUUGUAGCAUAUGUUGUCAUUAUAUAGUAGACAUUAAUCACUGAGCAUGGCAGUAAACAUAGAUGUGUCAAAGCGGUAGGUUAGAGUAAAAGCAAUACCAAGAUUCUUUUCAGGAAUAUAAAGACUGCGGGUAGGUGACGCCGGUUUUUACCUCAAAGGUGCACUUAAAUACCGUUCUAUUGACUAAACAAGGGCUUAAUUUCUUUUUUGCGAGGUUAGUAAAAUAUUCGCAAAAGAAAAUGUACGAUUGAACUGCUUUUUCAUUUUCUUGAAGAGAAAAAACGGAGAUAGUCGUGUUACUAUUCUUUUCCGUUUGUUUAUUAAUUUUGCAAAUUUAGAGUUUUAAACUCCAGCUAAACAAUAAUUCAUCAAUUCCGUUAUGUUUAUACCUUUUUCCAAUUGUUGUUUCAAAACUGAUUGCUAAUUCAAUUGAUUGCUAAAGCAACAAACUUUGUGGAUUGUAUUUACAAGAAAAGGAACAAAAGUGGUUGCUAUGUUGAUAUUGAAAACAAAAUUAGAUACAUACAAAUAAAUAAUUUUGUUGAUGUCUAUGUUAGAGUGACUAUGGUUAGAGAUAGUCAAGCUGUUAUUACGACUCCACAAAAAGAAUUAACGAAAAUUAUGAAACCGGAGAUUUAGUACUACAAAUUAAAUUAUUCUUGUAUUCACGGUGGAAGAAAACUACAAACGAAAGACGGCAGACCAUUUGGAACCAUGCCACAAGUCAGUCCGACCUUCAUCGUCACAGAGAAUACUACGAGAAGAGUGCGCACCCAUGCAAGCUAAAUAAAACCAGAACAUGGGAGAGGUUAGGUGCUGUGAAAUUAACUUUUUAGACGAAUGUUCCUAUAAACAAUUAUCAUACCGACGAGUGUGCUUGGGAUGGGUCGUUAGCUUAAUUAUUUGUUUUAUAUAAUAUUUUUAACUCUUUUUACUUUCGUCUACCUGACCACAUGAUAUGUUUAAAGUUCAUAUCGCUUUACUUACGUAAAAGCCCAUAAUGGCUGUAAUUGAAUAUGUUUUGUUUUUAGUUUCAUGUAUUAGACCACGAUAUUGUCUAUGCGUAAAAUCAUCUAGCGUAAACACACUCCUUCGUAUAAUUCAAAAAUAAUUUUUAUCUUUUUUAGUACACACCUAUUUUGCAUUUAUCUGUCAGAAAACUUACCUUAUUGUUUUCAUUGAACGCUCGCUUCUAUUAUUUAGGCUUCUUUACGAUUGAAUCCAAGUCCCCAAUCUCUGUAAUUAAAAAAAACAAUCUAUCACUAUUACUUUUUUUCGGUUACCCUGACAACUUAUCGCUAUCACUUUCGUCUACUUGACCAUAUAAUGACGUAUAUUCAUUAUACGCAUUGUGAUCAAAUGUUUAUUUGAUCACAAUGACACCAGCCAUUUAAACAUUUACGGUUUCAAGCUUUUUUAAUUUUCUGAUACAUGGGAUAAAAAAUAAUAUUAAAUAAUAUACGUUAAUGAUAUAAUACAAAUUUUCAAUUUUCAAUAGAAGUACGUGCUCUUUCUUCGUAUAUGCUAAGAAAGGAGAAGUUUGUAAUGCAAAUAUGUUCAAGUGUUUAUUUAUUUAGUUACACAUCUUGUCAUAACCAUUGUCAUAAGAUGACAAUGAGUCAUCAUUUUUUAAUUUUUCACACUAUCUUACACAACGUUUUUGUCAUCAACUAAUUUUUUUUGGAACGUAUGUGAAAAUACA